rnacentral:lncRNA from 1 species
GAAUCUGAUUUCUAGACUUAGAACAUUAGAUUCAAAUGUUUAGUUUUCAACACUAAAAAAAUUACAAGGCAUAAAAGAGACAGGAAAGUAUGGUGUAUUCAAAGGGGAAAAAAAUAAAGCAACAGAAACCUUUUUGAAAACAGCAUGAUAGCAGAUCUAAUAGACAAAGACUGUAAAACAACUGUCUUAAAGAUAUUCAUCAAGCUAAAGAAGAAA